rnacentral:rRNA from 1 species
CUACGGGUCGCUCCAGUGAGGAAUAUUGGACAAUGGAGGCAACUCUGAUCCAGCCAUGCCGCGUGCAGGAAGACGGCCCUAUGGGUUGUAAACUGCUUUUAUACGGGAAGAAACCCAACUACGUGUAGUUGGCUGACGGUACCGUAAGAAUAAGCACCGGCUAACUCCGUGCCAGCAGCCGCGGUAAUACGGAGGGUGCAAGCGUUAUCCGGAAUCAUUGGGUUUAAAGGGUCCGUAGGCGGACUGAUAAGUCAGGGGUGAAUUCCAACAGCUUAACUGUUGAACUGCCUUUGAUACUGUUAGUCUUGAAUUAUAUGGAAGUAGAUAGAAUGUGUAGUGUAGCGGUGAAAUGCUUAGAGAUCACACAGAAUACCGAUUGCGAAGGCAGUCUACUACGUAUAUAUUGACGCUAAUGGACGAAAGCGUGGGGAGCGGACAGGAUUAGAUACCCCCGUAGUC